UGUCUCGGGACUGGAGACCCAUGUGGGCUAGAGCAGCAAAGAUCGUCCGGGAGUUGGCUAACAGGACUCCAGAAUUCAAAGGCAGGCUGCUACUGCCGGACGGCCCGAUGGGUCCGCAGAACGUACUCCCCAUCGGCUUUGGCUUUGCUCCUUUACGACGGAGGCGGCACGUGAAAGACCAUACCCGUCCUACCAACAAGCUUGCACGUAAAAAACAUUCCUGUCGGGUAGCUAAUAUAUAUGUUGACAAGAGGAUGAGCCUGCCUUCUUCCAGCCACUGCAGCCAGGAGUUGUCAGCUGGUAUACUUCAUUCCUAGGUCCUAGCUAGCUUCUCUCUAUGCAAGCAUUUUUCCAUCAAGCAAUAAUAUAGAACAAUCUUUUGUUAUCCCAUUUGCAGAACUCAUGGCUAAGCC